UGGAACUUACUCUGUAGACCAGGCUGGCCU
rnacentral:piRNA from 2 species